rnacentral:rRNA from 1 species
CUACGUGCCAGCAGCCGCGGUAAUACGUAGGUGGCAAGCGUUGUCCGGAAUUAUUGGGCGUAAAGCGCGCGCAGGUGGUUUAAUAAGUCUGAUGUGAAAGCCCACGGCUCAACCGUGGAGGGUCAUUGGAAACUGUUUAACUUGAGUGCAAGAGGGGAGAGUGGAAUUCCAUGUGUAGCGGUGAAAUGCGUAGAUAUAUGGAGGAACACCGGUGGCGAAAGCGGCUCUCUGGCUUGUAACUGACGCUGAGGCUYGAAAGCGUGGGGAGCAAACAGGAUUAGAUACCCUGGUAGUCCACGCCGUAAACGAUGAGUGCUAGGUGUUAGACCCUUUCCGGGGUUUAGUGCCGUAGCUAACGCAUUAAGCACUCCGCCUGGGGAGUACGACCGCAAGGUUAAAACUCAAAUGAAUUGACGGGGGCCCGCACAAGCGGUGGAGCAUGUGGUUUAAUUCGAUGCAACGCGAAGAACCUUACCUACUCU